AUUGAACGCUAGCGGGAUGCCUUACACAUGCAAGUCGAACGGCAGCGGGAAGUAGCUUGCUACUUUGCCGGCGAGUGGCGAACGGGUGAGUAAUGUAUCGGAACGUGCCCAGUAGCGGGGGAUAACUACGCGAAAGCGUGGCUAAUACCGCAUACGCCCUACGGGGAAAGGGGGGACGUCUUCGGAGCCUCUCACUAUUGGGGCGGGCCGGAUAUCGGAUUAGCUAGUUGGUGGGGUAAAGGCCUACCAA
rnacentral:rRNA from 1 species